UACGUAGGGUGCGAGCGUUAAUCGGAAUUACUGGGCGUAAAGCGUGCGCAGGCGGUUUUGUAAGACAGAUGUGAAAUCCCCGGGCUUAACCUGGGAACUGCAUUUGUGACUGCAAGACUAGAGUGCGGUAGAGGGUAGUGGAAUUCCCGGUGUAGCAGUGAAAUGCGUAGAUAUCGGGAGGAGCACCAGUGGCGAAGGCGACUACCUGGACCAGCACUGACACUGAGGCACGAAAGCGUGGGGAGCAAACAGG
rnacentral:rRNA from 1 species